AGGGACAAGCAGUAUAAUUAAUCUUACAGAUGUAGGGACAAGCAGUAUAAUUAAUCUUGAAGAUGCAGGGACGUGAAGCAGUAAUUAGUUUUACAGUUGCAGGGACAAGUAGUAAUCAAUCUUACAGAAGCAGAGACCAAUCUUAUAGAAGUAUGGACAAGCUGUAGCCAACUCUACAGAUGCAGGGACAAGCAGUAUUUACUUUUUCAGAAGCAGUAGCCAAUCUUACAGAAGCAAGGACAAGCAGCACCCAUUUUUACUGUUGCAGGGACAAGCAGUUUUUAAUUUUACAGUGGCAAGGACAAGCAGUAGCCAAUCUUAUAGAAGCAGGGACAAGCAGUAUUUACCUAACAGAAGCAGAAGCCAAUCAAACAGAAGCAGGGACAAGCAGUAGCCAACCUUACAGAAGCAGCAACCAAUACUAAUUAAGCAGAGCAUUAGAGUGGCCACCAUCACCAGUUUAACACUGACUGAUUAGUCAAAGAGUCCAGACCAGAAGGAUCCACCAUGACAACUAAUCAUAUGUUGGGUAGGGGGAAAAGAUGGAUUCCUAGACCUGCAGCAAAGAAGAGACCACAAAACUGAGUUCUACCUUGAAAGAUGUGAUGUAAUUUAAACAGAAUGGAGCCAAUGGUACUCAGGGAGCCCAAGAUAAGGUUGUUAUUUGAUCUUCUAAUUAAGCCAGACAUAAGGUGAGAUGUAUUGGUUCUUUUGCACAUAUUUUUGUUUGCUGUUCUCUCCCCUUCCCUUUCAUACUUACAUUACUAACAGAACUCACCUUUUUGCCCUUUUCAUUUAUGAUUGUUUGUACCUUUUCCAAAUGUGUUAUUGUUACAUGUCUUUGUGUGAGAAUGAUGUAUCAAAAGGAUCCCUUUCAAUAUAUUGGAACUAAAGUAAUCUUGUGUCAGUUUCUACCAUUCUCAAGGGCACUAGGGAUAGACAGAAGGCAGCAGAUACCACAUUGAGGGAACCAUUGCCAGGAUACAGGGUAUCCACUAUAACAAUGGGCCAACUUAAUUUGGCCAAAGUGAAUUACAGUUUGUCCAAAUCCCAAUACAAAGAAUGCACUCUGACAACACUGUUUGAAAAGAAGGGUCCAGGAAGUUGAGAUUGACUGAAUUAAGCUAAUGACUGAAUAGAGGAUGCAGGUAUAGAUAGAUGUCAAAUUACAGAUGACAAUACAAUGUCAUUGAGACCAUAACCAGGAGGUGGGGUUUCCACUAUGUCAACCAGCCAACAUUUACCAAAAUGGUAGGAAACAAGCUUCACAUGGAGGACCACACAAAGGAAAAAAAAACACUUGGUGAAGAAGAAAACCAUACAAUUGAAGAAAAGAGGACCACACAAGGAAGAGGACCACACAAUUGAAGAAAAGAGGACCACACAAGGAAGAGGAACACACAAUUGAAGAGAAGAGGAACACACAAGGAAGAGGACCACACAGUUGAAGAGAAGAGGACCACACAAGGAAGAAGAGGAGGACCAAACAAGGAAGAAGAGGACCACACAAGGAAGAGAGGACCAUUGCCAAGAUACUGGGUAUCCACUAGAAAAACAGGCCAACAUUGGCCAAAGUGUUAGCCCAAAUCCCAAUACAAAGAAUGCAAGCUGACAACACUACUUGUGAGAAGAGUCUGGAGGGAGUUGUGAUCACCUGAAGCCAACCACUGAAUAGAGGAUGGAGGUAUAGAUAGAUGCAAAAUUACAGACGACAACAAAUGACAAUUUGUUCAUAAUCAGGAUGCUGGGUUUCCCUUAUGUUGACAAUCCAACAUGGACCAAAAUGGUAAAACACACACUGCAUGUGGAGGACCACAUAUUUAAGAAGAGGACCAUAUGGUAAAGAAGAGGACCACACAAAGAAGAGGACUACAUGGUGAAGAGGAGGACCACGUGGUGAAGAAGAGGAGGACCACAUGAAGAGGAACCAUUGCCAGGAUACAGGGUAUCCACCUAAUCAACACUGACCAAAGUGAAUAAUGGUUACACAAGCUUUGAUUUCAUGAUCGAUAACAUUCCAAUCACUCGCAAGGAGGAGUCCACGAAACCAAGAUCCACUGCAGACAGCCAUAGAAGAAAGGAUGACAGCAGGAAUGGACAGAUGCCAAACUGAGGACAACCAUUCAAUAAAGACUAGGAUCAAAGAAGAAGAAACCAACAGGCUAACAUUGGCCAACAUGAAUAAUGGUUAGGCAAUCUUUGAUUUUGUGGCAGGGAACACAUCUAUCACUCUUUAGGAGGAGUGCAACCAAGAAAGAUCCACUGCAGUCAGCCAUUG